rnacentral:misc_RNA from 1 species
CCAAUCACAGACAAUAAUCACUAAUAGCGUUUUUCAUUGGGAUGCACUGAGUGCGCAUUAAGAACUCGUGGAGUUUAGGCGACACUACCCGAGUUUACCGACAGUGCAAGUUUUUUUGCACGCCCAAUGAAACACUCAUGACUUAAUGAGUGCGCAUAAGAACCGAUUCGCCUUGGAUUGAAAGAAAAUAUAUGCAUUAACGUAAACUUCACUAUGGAACAAUCAGAAGAAUUAAGCAUUUCUUUCAAAGUCAAUAAUGACAUGCUCUCGUUAAAACUUCUAUCAAGCGAAACAGAGUUAUACAAUAAAAUAAUGAAUGACGAUACCUAUAGCAUACAAUAUAUAAAACUUGUGAUUAAAAAUGGAUUGUGUGUUCUACAUGGAAGCGAAAAUCAGAAAAUUGAAGAAAUAUCUCGAGUGAUUGAAGAUGAAGAACAAUUGAUAUUCCACGCGAAUAUUCAUGGUGAUAAUCGCAGCAAUGAAGAUCAGCUAUCGGAGUAGAAUAAAGAAAAUGAAGCACUCAUGUUUGAAUCCUUUGAAUCACAGGAAUAUGAUCAGAAUGAAUCACAAUCGCAGGAGUACGAUAAAAAAGGAAAGAAGAGUAGCGAUUACUGGAGCAAUUCAGGAACAUCGUUUCUUCUCGAUAAAUAUGAAACAUAUAUGUCGGAUAUUGGUCCCAUGAAAAAAUUCAAAACUAAAAAAUUGAUGUGGGCGCAAAUUUCAAAAGAUAUGCUGACGAUGUUGGACGUAUUAAAAACUCCUCUUCAAGUUGAAAAUCGGUAUAAAACCGUUCUCAAAAGGAAAAAAAAAGCAGUUGAGAACAACUCUAAAUCAGGCAGCUCUAGAGAGGAUGUACCAUUCGAAGAAGAAUUGCGUAAAAUUGCUCAUUCGGACGAUAGUAUUGAGCCCGAGGUGUUGCGAAAUGCAAGGAGCGUUAAAUAUCCUAAAUUGAAUACAAAAAUGUCGGAAGAAAUCUGCAAUGAUAGUGCCUCUACACAUUCUACUGAUAGCUCACCACCGAAGACAAAAAAAUCGAAACCAAGUGAUAUUGAUAAAAGGAUGGAAUACUGGAAAAAUAAAGAAGCGGCAAAAGAAAGACGUCACCAAGAAAAGUUGAAUUUAAUACGGGA